rnacentral:rRNA from 1 species
GCUGACGAGUGGCGCACGGGUGCGUAACGCGUAUACAAUCUACCUUUUGCUGAGGGAUAGCCCAGAGAAAUUUGGAUUAAUACCUCAUGGUAUUAUUGAUAGGCAUCUAUUAAUAAUUAAAGGUUACGGCAAAAGAUGAGUAUGCGUCCCAUUAGCUAGUUGGCGAGGUAACGGCUCACCAAGGCAACGAUGGGUAGGGGUCCUGAGAGGGAGAUCCCCCACACUGGUACUGAGACACGGACCAGACUCCUACGGGAGGCAGCAGUGAGGAAUAUUGGACAAUGGGCGAGAGCCUGAUCCAGCCAUGCCGCGUGCAGGAAGACUGCCCUAUGGGUUGUAAACUGCUUUUAUACAGGAAGAAUAAGCCUUACGUGUAAGGUGAUGACGGUACUGUAAGAAUAAGGACCGGCUAACUCCGUGCCAGCAGCCGCGGUAAUACGGAGGGUCCGAGCGUUAUCCGGAAUUAUUGGGUUUAAAGGGUCCGUAGGCGGAUGAUUAAGUCAGGGGUGAAAGUUUGCAGCUCAACUGUAAAAUUGCCUUUGAUACUGGUUAUCUUGAGUUGUAUUGAAGUAGGCGGAAUAUGUAGUGUAGCGGUGAAAUGCAUAGAUAUUACAUAGAACACCAAUUGCGAAGGCAGCUUACUAAGUACUAACUGACGCUGAUGGACGAAAGCGUGGGUAGCGAACAGGAUUAGAUACCCUGGUAGUCCACGCCGUAAACGAUGGAUACUAGCUGUUCGGGGCCUUGAGCUCUG